UAAUAGCCAACUUUUGUUAAAGUUUUCUGUCAGACACAGGAAUUAAUGAAGAAUUCUCAUGCCAAUCUUGUGAGGUAGUUAUCAUCAUUAGCCCCAUUUUACAGAUGAAGAGACUGAGGGAGGAGGUUGCACAGCCAGGAUUUGAACUGAGACCCCAGACUCUUCACACCCCCUUACCCCGCUCAGCCUUCCCCAGGAUGAGGAAACUGAGGCACAGAGAGGUUAGGCAACUUGCCCAAGAUCACACACCUAAGAAGUGAAAGAUCAGGGAAUUCCAACCCAGUGGAAUUUUCCAGAGGCUGCAUGAUGUGCAACAUAUUAUAAUGCAGAAGCAGAUAUGAGAAUCCAGUUGUCUAUGCAGCCAGACAUUAAAGAGAUUUGUCAACUUGUAAAACGUUGUCACUCUUCUCACUUUUUUGGACAAUCUACUUAUUUUUCAUAAAAAUGUUUUGUUUAUAUGAACAUGUAAUGGGUUUAUUAUUGUUUUAAAGAUAGGUUAAUAAAUAAAUUAAAAAUGUCUCCAUUUUAAUUUCUAAUAUAGUAAAUACCAAUUGAUAAUAGCCCACAUCAACAAAAUCUCUUUGCAGUCCUCAAUACUUUUUUUGAAUGUUUCAUCUUGAGAUUAUUGUAGGUUCACAUGCAGUUGUAAGAAAUAAUAGAGGUCCUGUAUACCCUUCACCCAGCUUACCCCCAAUGGUAGCAUCUUGUAUAACUUUAGUGCAUAUCACAACCAGGAAAUUGACAUUCAUACAAUCCACUCAUCUUAUCCAGAUUUCACCAGUUUUACAUUCACUUGUGUGUGUGUGUGCAUGUUUAAUUCUAUGCAACUGUAUCACGUGUAGAUUUGUGUGUCUACCACCACAGUCAAGACACAGAAUGAGUCCAUCACAAGGAUCCCUCAUGCUACCCUUUUGUAGCCACAGCGACCUCCUUGUCUCUCCUCUCCUAACCCCUGUUCUCCCUCUCCACAAUUUUGUCAUUUCAAUAAUGUUAU